UCCGAAAUAGCUUCGCUGGGAGAGCGUUAGACUAUAAAUCGAAAGGUCCCUGGUUCGAUCCCGGGUUUCGUCA
rnacentral:tRNA from 1 species